UAGAAAGAAUACCUGUAAUUAUACACAUUAUAAUUUUACUUAGCCUUAUGGAUUAAAAAACAAAAUAAAAAACAAAAAACCUCUCCACAUUAGUCCUUUUUAUUUUUUCCUUUCCUUUCUUUUUUUUUUAAAGACAUAAGACACCUUCUGUCUUAUGCUCUAUCAAUUCCAAAACAUAAGAGUGGUAAGGGCUAAGCAAUGGGGGUUAAGUGACUUGCCUAGGGUCACACGGCUAGGAUAUAUCUGAGGUCAAAUUUGAAUCCAGGACCUCCAGUCUCCAUGGCUGGCUCUCUACCCACUGAGCCACCUAUCUGCUCCAAUUCCAGUUUUGCUUUGUGCCAAGUACACUAACAGCUGGGGAUAUAAAAACAAUUUAAUUACAGUUUCUUCUCCUUAAGGAGAGUACAUUCUAGUCUAAGGUAAUCACAGGUAUAGGAAAGUGGGAAACAGUGUCUAGGAAGGAUUGUUUUUAGUUUGGAAAGGUACAUGGAUUGUGAGUGGAGCCAGUUUAUUGAUAUAAUAGGGAUAUUUGCAUAAUUAUGGUUCUAAAGCUGGAAGGCAGGGUAGGGGUGGAGAGACUAGAUGGUGAUUGAGAAGAUGUCCAGUGGAGUAAGUACAAUAUGGUGAAGCAUGGGUAGGAUCAGAUUGGUAUAAUAGACAUUCAACCAGGAGAGGGAGGCCUCAUAAAAUACUGAGCUUUUCCCCUGACCACUUUCCAGAGCACUUGGGGAUUCACCAGAAGUCUCCUGAGGAGUGUCUUUUAUCAAGAGGACAAAGCGACUCUCUUGUCUAUAGUGGCCAGGCUACAGACUCAGAAUGAUUGUGUGACCACUAUUAUCUUGUAAUGGGGAAAUUUAAGGCUUCUGGGAGAAGGUUAUAAUAUAGUAAUGGUUACAAAUGUGGCUACAAGAUUUAUAUAAUAUUUAACAAUGGCCGCCAAGGAAUUUACUUAUGAAAUUCCUAAAAUGAAACACUCAAGUCAGAAUGAGGUUUAUGGAGGUUUAAUCACACUGGGAGUAGGGAAAAGGUUAGGGAGAGAAGGAGAGAAGAGAAAGGGGAAGAGGUUAGGGAGAGAAGGAGAGAAGAGAAAGGGGAAGAGGCUACUCAACCUCUGACCAAGGCAGAGGGAGUUUAGGCCUAAAGGCCCAGGUGGAAAGAACCAGUCCUUAACUCACGUGAUCGAUCUGAAGGAAAGCUGUCUGCGGGCGUCCUCUCUCUCCAAGCUCCUAACACCCACUCCCCCUAGCUCUCUCCACAGGAAGUUCCGCCAAUCUCAGAGGCUGUUCCCUACCUCUCUUCCUGUGUCUCACAAAUCCAAUGGUUGGCUCUAGCUUGGCUUAGGACAGCCCAGGUGGGCAGUUAGUUAUUUCUGAUUAGUCAUUGACUAGCGCAUGCCCGUGUAGGUGGGUGUGCACAAUUUUUGGGUGCUAGACCAAGAUGGAGACUUUUAAAAUUCACAAUCUGGAGCCACAGGAUAUGAGGUACAGUACAAGGGGCAGUGGAUUUAGAAUCAGAGGACCUGGGUAAAAUUCUGUCUCUAACAUUUCCUAUUUAUGUAACCUUGGACAAGUCAGCCUCUCUGGGCCUUAAUUUCC
ensembl:lncRNA